rnacentral:rRNA from 3 species
UUGGAGACCUCAAAUCAGGUAGGACUACCCGCUGAACUUAAGCAUAUCAAUAAGCGGAGGAAAAGAAACUAACAAGGAUUCCCCUAGUAACUGCGAGUGAAGCGGGAAAAGCUCAAAUUUGAAAUCUGGCAGUUCUUGACUGUCCGAGUUGUAAUCUAGAGAAGUGUUACCUGUGCUGGACCGUGUACAAGUCUUCUGGAAUGGAGCAUCAUAGAGGGUGAGAAUCCCGUCUUUGACACGGACUACCUGUGCGUUAUGGUGCGCUCUCAAAGAGUCGAGUUGUUUGGGAAUGCAGCUCAAAAUGGGUGGUAAAUGCCAUCUAAAGCUAAAUAUUGGCGAGAGACCGAUAGCGAACAAGUACCGUGAGGGAAAGAUGAAAAGAACUUUGGAAAGAGAGUUAAACAGUACGUGAAAUUGCUGAAAGGGAAACGCUUGAAGUCAGUCGCGUUGGCUAGAAAUCAGCCUUGCUCUUGCACGGUGUACUUUCUGGUUGACGGGUCAGCAUCAAUUUUGACCAUUGGAUAAAGUCUUUGGGAAUGUGGCAUCUUAGGAUGUGUUAUAGCCCAUUGUCGCAUACGGUGGUUGGGAUUGAGGAACUCAGCACGCCGCAAGGCCAGGUUUCGACCAUGUUCGUGCUUAGGAUGCUGGCAUAAUGGCUUUAAUCGACCCGUC